rnacentral:rRNA from 1 species
UACGAAGGGGGCUAGCGUUGCUCGGAAUCACUGGGCGUAAAGCGCACGUAGGCGGAUAUUUAAGUCGGGGGUGAAAUCCUGGAGCUCAACUCCAGAACUGCCUUCGAUACUGGAGAGCUCGAGUCCGGGAGAGGUGAGUGGAACUGCGAGUGUAGAGGUGAAAUUCGUAGAUAUUCGCAAGAACACCAGUGGCGAAGGCGGCUCACUGGCCCGGUACUGACGCUGAGGUGCGAAAGCGUGGGGAGCAAACAGG